AUUUUUUUUUAAAUACCACUUAUGAGGGUGCCUGGCUGGCACAGUCAGUAGAGCAUGUGACUCUUGAUCUCAGGGUCAUGAGUUCUAGCCCCACGUUGGGCAUAGAAAUUACUUAAACAAACAAGCAAGGAAAAACAGAAAAAAAAAUACUUAGGGAUGGGGUGCCUGGGUGUCUCAGUCAAUUAAGCAUCCAACUUUGGCUCAGGUCAUGAUCUCACGGUCCAUGGGUUCGAGCCCCGCGUCAGGCUCUGUGCUGACAGACUUGGAGGCUGGAGUCUGCUUCGGAUUCGCUCUUUCCCUCUCUCUCUGCCCCUCCCCUGCUCACACUCACUGACUUUCUCUCUUUCUCUCUCUCAAAAAUAAACAUUAAAAUUUUUUUUAAAAAUUACUUAGGGAUACAUUUAAUGAAAGAUAUACAAGUCCUGUGUACCCUGAAAACUAGAAAACAUUGCUAAAUAAAUAGAUGUCCCCUAUUCAUGGGUUGGAAGACUCAGUAUUGUUCAGAUAUUCAUUCUGACGAUCUAUAGAUUCAGUGCAAUCUAAUUAAACAUCCCAGCAAGUUUUUUUUUCCUUCUAGAAAUUGACAAGCCGGUUUUAAAAUGUACAUGGAGGGCCACUUGGGUGGCUCAGUCGGCUCAGGUCAUGAGCUCACGGUUUGUGGUUUCGAGCCCAAACCUGCUGACAGUGUGGAGCCUGCUUGGGAAUCUCUCUCUCUCCCUCUCUGUCUGUCCCUACCCUGCUGGUGCUCUGUCUCUCGCAAAAUAAAUAAAUAAAUACAACUUAAAAUUUUUUUUAUAAUAAAAUGUAUCUGGAAAUGCAAAGACCUGGCGUGAGGCUCUUAAGGGAGGAAAAUAAAAGUGAGAGGACGUGCCUGCUACCUGAUUUCAAGACCUACUGCAAAGCUGUAGAAAUAAAAACAGCAUGUCAUUGGCAGAAGAGACACACAGAUCAAUGAAACAGAGUAGUCCAAAAUUAGACCCACACAUAUACAUCCAAAUAAUUUUUGACAAAGAUACCAAUGUAUUUCAGUGGGGGAAGAAAAGUGUUUGAAACGAAUGGUACCAGAACAACUGAAGAUCCAUGUAGAAAACAGUGAAUCUUGACUCGUACGUCAUUCCAUGUGGAAACAUGAACUCAACUGCAUCACAGACCUGGGGCACCUAGUUGGUUCAGUUGGAGGAGUAUGUGACUCUUGAUCUUGGGGUCAUGAGUUCAAGCCCCACAUUGGCUGUAGAGAUUAUUUAAAAAUAAAAUCUUUUUUAAAAAAAGCUAAAACUCAAGCUUCUGGAAGACAACAUGAGUGAAAAUCUUUGCAACAUUGAGCAGGCAAAAGUUUCUCAGGAUACAAAACACACUAGCUAGGAAAAAAAAAAAAAACCCUGAUAAAUUGGACUUGAUUUUUUUUUAAGUUUUUAUUGUUUAUUUAUUUUUGAGAGAGAGAGAGAGAGAGACAGUGUGAGCAGGGGUGGGAAGGAGGCACAGAGAGAGGGAGACACAGAGUCCAAAGCAGCUCCAGGAUCUGAGCUGUCAGCACAGAGCCCAAUGCGGGGCUCAGACCCACAAGUUAUGAGAUCAUGACUCAAGGCGAAGUUGGAAGCUUAAGCGACUGAGCCACCCAGGCGCCCCAAAUUGGACUUGAUUAAAAUAAGACAAUCCUGCUUUUCCAAAGAUACCAUUGAAGAAAAGGCUUUCAGAACCAUGUAAAGCAUUGUUUAACUUUACAUAGGACUUAAAAUCUUUUUGAAAGAAAAUGGCAUUCUCUUCACUACAUGAGCUCCAAUCCUUCCAAAUAAAUAAACAUAAAUAUUAGCUUUAUUUUUUAGUCAAGGGAACCAAUGGAGUGCAUAGCAUAAGAGGUCCUUUGUUGAGAUUGUUAACUCCCAGGACCAGGCUAGACCCAACGACCUAUUUAUUGAAGGCAAUUGAUGUCAUUAUAGUCAGAAAGACUCCAGAUUCUGGCCGAAAGGAAAGCAGAGGUCAAAGGCAGAGAAGUGACUGCAAAUAUCUGGCCCAGCAGGUAAAGUGACUGUACAUAGGGAAAAUGAAUCACCAAGUCUGAAGGUAGGCAGGUGGGGGACGACAUGCAAAGGAGAAAAGCAGAGGGCAUGAUGGGUCAGGUUGAUUCAGCACAGAGGCCCAGAGUGAUGACGGUAGGGAUAGAGCUCAUUUCUAAACCUCACUGGUGCUCACUGGUUUGACAGCUUGAAACAGCCAGGCAGGAACAGACAUACUUGAUUUUAGAUCCUAUGAGCUCUGACCCCAUGUAAAACCUAUACGUAUCAAGAAAACUCCAAUUGCCAGACUUCUCUGUUAGGCACCACUCCCCGGACAACUGCCAUUGUAGUUCUGUUGGCUUCAUCUGGAUGACUUUUCAUUCUUUGCUCCACACUAGCUGUGAUUGCUGUAGGUACGUAGCACAGGCAGGUCACCUGUUCCACUUCCUUUUCCCGGAUGCAAACAUCGUCUGUAUUUCCCAGCCUCCUUUGAGCCAGCCAAAUGCAGAGGAAGCAAGAGAAGACUCCACGGUGGAAGAAGCCUGAAUCCCCUCCCAGGGCAGUUCACAGUCCCAGUGUCUCAGGGAGAAAAUAAACCUGUAUGGUCGUAA